UACGGAGGGAGCUAGCGUUAUUCGGAAUUACUGGGCGUAAAGCGCGCGUAGGCGGCUUUGUAAGUUAGAGGUGAAAGCCCGGGGCUCAACCCCGGAAUUGCCUUUAAGACUGCAUCGCUAGAAUCGUGGAGAGGUAAGUGGAAUUCCGAGUGUAGAGGUGAAAUUCGUAGAUAUUCGGAAGAACACCAGUGGCGAAGGCGACUUACUGGACACGUAUUGACGCUGAGGUGCGAAAGCGUGGGGAGCAAACAGG
rnacentral:rRNA from 1 species